rnacentral:rRNA from 6 species
ACUUAAAUUGAAGAGUUUGAUCAUGGCUCAGAUUGAACGCUGGCGGCAGGCCUAACACAUGCAAGUCGAGCGGUAGCACAGAGAGCUUGCUCUCGGGUGACGAGCGGCGGACGGGUGAGUAAUGUCUGGGAAACUGCCUGAUGGAGGGGGAUAACUACUGGAAACGGUAGCUAAUACCGCAUAACGUCGCAAGACCAAAGUGGGGGACCUUCGGGCCUCAUGCCAUCAGAUGUGCCCAGAUGGGAUUAGCUAGUAGGUGGGGUAACGGCUCACCUAGGCGACGAUCCCUAGCUGGUCUGAGAGGAUGACCAGCCACACUGGAACUGAGACACGGUCCAGACUCCUACGGGAGGCAGCAGUGGGGAAUAUUGCACAAUGGGCGCAAGCCUGAUGCAGCCAUGCCGCGUGUGUGAAGAAGGCCUUCGGGUUGUAAAGCACUUUCAGCGGGGAGGAAGGCGUUAAGGUUAAUAACCUCAUCGAUUGACGUUACCCGCAGAAGAAGCACCGGCUAACUCCGUGCCAGCAGCCGCGGUAAUACGGAGGGUGCAAGCGUUAAUCGGAAUUACUGGGCGUAAAGCGCACGCAGGCGGUCUGUCAAGUCGGAUGUGAAAUCCCCGGGCUCAACCUGGGAACUGCAUUCGAAACUGGCAGGCUAGAGUCUUGUAGAGGGGGGUAGAAUUCCAGGUGUAGCGGUGAAAUGCGUAGAGAUCUGGAGGAAUACCGGUGGCGAAGGCGGCCCCCUGGACAAAGACUGACGCUCAGGUGCGAAAGCGUGGGGAGCAAACAGGAUUAGAUACCCUGGUAGUCCACGCCGUAAACGAUGUCGAUUUGGAGGUUGUGCCCUUGAGGCGUGGCUUCCGGAGCUAACGCGUUAAAUCGACCGCCUGGGGAGUACGGCCGCAAGGUUAAAACUCAAAUGAAUUGACGGGGGCCCGCACAAGCGGUGGAGCAUGUGGUUUAAUUCGAUGCAACGCGAAGAACCUUACCUGGUCUUGACAUCCACAGAACUUUCCAGAGAUGGAUUGGUGCCUUCGGGAACUGUGAGACAGGUGCUGCAUGGCUGUCGUCAGCUCGUGUUGUGAAAUGUUGGGUUAAGUCCCGCAACGAGCGCAACCCUUAUCCUUUGUUGCCAGCGGUCCGGCCGGGAACUCAAAGGAGACUGCCAGUGAUAAACUGGAGGAAGGUGGGGAUGACGUCAAGUCAUCAUGGCCCUUACGACCAGGGCUACACACGUGCUACAAUGGCAUAUACAAAGAGAAGCGACCUCGCGAGAGCAAGCGGACCUCAUAAAGUAUGUCGUAGUCCGGAUUGGAGUCUGCAACUCGACUCCAUGAAGUCGGAAUCGCUAGUAAUCGUAGAUCAGAAUGCUACGGUGAAUACGUUCCCGGGCCUUGUACACACCGCCCGUCACACCAUGGGAGUGGGUUGCAAAAGAAGUAGGUAGCUUAACCUUCGGGAGGGCGCUUACCACUUUGUGAUUCAUGACUGGGGUGAAGUCGUAACAAGGUAACCGUAGGGGAACCUGCGGUUGGAUCACCUCCUUACCUUAAAGAA